UACGGAGGGUGCGAGCGUUGUUCGGAAUCACUGGGCGUAAAGCGCGUGUAGGCGGUCUGUUAAGUCUGAUGUGAAAGCCCGGGGCUCACCCCCGGAAGUGCAUUGGAAACUGACAGACUGGAGUCCCGGAGAGGAGGGUGGAAUUCCAGGUGUAGCGGUGAAAUGCGUAGAUAUCAGGAGGAACACCGGUGGCGAAGGCGGCCCUCUGGACGGUGACUGACGCUGAGACGCGAAAGCGUGGGGAGCAAACAGG
rnacentral:rRNA from 1 species